rnacentral:rRNA from 1 species
UACGUAGGAGACGAGCGUUGUUCGGAUUCAUUGGGCGUAAAGGGUGUGUAGGUGGCGCCGUAAGUCGGGUGUGAAAUUUCGGAGCUUAACUCCGAAACUGCAUUCGAUACUGCGGUGCUUGAGGACUGGAGAGGAGACUGGAAUUCAUGGUGUAGCAGUGAAAUGCGUAGAGAUCAUGAGGAAGACCAGUGGCGAAGGCGGGUCUCUGGACAGUUCCUGACACUGAGACACGAAGGCCAGGGGAGCAAACGGG